CCCACCCCCGCCUCCUCCCGAACGGCCCCUUCCCCGCAGCCCCGCCGCGUCCAGGCUGCGGGCUGGCGGCGCGGGGCCGGCCGGGUGCAUGGGGCAGGCGAGCCCGCUGCCUGGCUGGCGUUGCGGGGAGCCCGGCGGCGAGCGCCCAGCCCGGCACCAUGAUGAAGUUUCGGUUCCGGAGGCAGGGGCACGACCCCCAGCGGGAGAAGCUCAAGCUGGAUCUCUUCGCCUUCAACAAGACUGUGGAACAUGGGUUCCCCAACCAGCCGAGCUCUCUGGCCUACGACCCCAAGCUGCGAAUUAUGGCCGUUGGCACCAAAUCGGGAGCUGUGAAAAUAUACGGCGCUCCAGGAGUGGAGUUCACCGGCUUGCACAAGGAGACUGCUGCCGUCACGCAGAUACACUUUUUGCCUGGACAGGGUCGGCUGCUGUCCUUGCUGGAUGACAACACCCUGCACCUGUGGGAGAUCGACCAGAAGGAUGGCUAUUCGCACCUGGAGGAGACUCGCAGCUUCAUCCUCCCGGGCCGACCAGGGUUCGACAGCACUAACUCUCCUCCCAGCAUUACCCGGGUGACGGUGAUCCUGCUGAAAUCUGCCUGUGAUGUGGCCUGCCUGGGCACAGAAGGGGGUGGCGUGUACUUCCUGGAGCUCUCUGGCUUAACGCUGCUGGAGGAUAAAACCCUGUAUCAAGAGGAGAUCAUGCAGAGCGUGCCAGACGACUACCGCUGCGGGAAGGCUCUUGGGCCAGUGGAGUCUCUGCAGGAACACCCUCAAGACUCGUCCAAGAUCCUGAUUGGCUAUAGCAGGGGGCUGAUGAUCGUGUGGGACCAGAGCACCAGAAAUGUCCACCACCUCUUCCUGGGCAAUCAGCAGCUGGAGAGCCUUGGCUGGGAGCGGAGCGGCAGGACGGUGGUGAGUUCGCACAGUGAUGGAGGCUACAUGGUGUGGUCCAUCAACAGUAGUUGCCAUAAGACUCUGCAGCCACUCAUGUCAACUAUCCCCUACGGUCCGUUUCCCUGUAAAGCCAUCAACAAAAUCCUGUGGAGAACCUGUGAAUCUGGAAAUCACUUCAUCAUCUUCAGCGGAGGCAUGCCCCGGGCCAGCUACGGGGACCGGCACUGCGUCAGCAUCCUGCAGGGCCAGAGCCUGGUCACCCUGGACUUCACUUCGCGCGUGAUCGACUUCUUCACCGUGCACCACACGGAGCCGGAGGAGGGUAGGCGGCCCGCUCUUCGGAACCGAGCGCGCCUCGGUCUCCCGCCCCAGCCUAAUAUCUCGCUGCUCUGCCUUCUAGAGUUCGAUAACCCGAGUGCCCUGGUGGUCCUGGUGGAGGAGGAGCUGGUGGUCCUCGACCUGCAAACGCCCGGCUGGCCUACGGUUCCUGCCCCCUACCUGGCGCCCCUCCAUUCCUCCGCCAUCACCUGCGCCUAUCACAUCUCCAACGUCCCCCUGAAGCUGUGGGAGCGAAUCAUCGGCGCUGGAGAGCAGCAGGGCCCCCGGCAUCCUUCUGGGAACUGGCCGAUCAGCGGAGGGAAAAACUUAGCCCAAGAACCCACCCAGAGGGGCCUUCUUCUCACGGGGCAUGAGGAUGGCACGGUCCGCUUCUGGGACGCCUCGGGAGUGUCCCUGCGGCCGCUGUACAAACUGGGCACGGCCAACAUCUUCCAGACGGACUGUGAGCACAACGACAGCCUCAACCAGGCCAGCGAGGAGGAGUGGCCUCCCUUCCGCAAGGUUGGCUGCUUUGAUCCGUACAGUGACGACCCGCGGCUGGGCAUCCAGAAGAUUGCGCUGUGUAAAUACACUGCCCGGAUGGUGGUGGCUGGGACUGCGGGGCAGGUGCUCGUCAUGGAGCUGAGCGACGAGAAGUCGAAUCACAUGAUCAACGUGGCCACGGUGGACCUGCUGCAGGACCGGGAGGGCUUCACCUGGAAGGGGCAUGACCGGCUCACCCCCAAGAACGGCUCCCUGACCUUCAGCGCAGGCUUCCAGCCCAGCGUGCUGGUGCAGUGCAUGCCGCCGGCUGCCGUCACCGCCGUGACCCUGCACGCCGAGUGGAACCUGGUGGCCUUCGGCACCAGCCAUGGCUUCGGGCUCUUCGACUAUUACCGACGCAACCCGGUGCUGGCCAGGUGCACGCUCCACCCCAACGACUCCCUGGCCAUGGAGGGGCCCCUCUCCCGAGUGAAGUCUCUGAAGAAGUCCCUGCGCCAGUCCUUCCGCAGGAUCCGCAAAAGCAGAGUCUCCGGCAAGAAGAGAGUCGUUGGCAACAGCUCCUCCAGCAAGGUGCAGGAAGCCAAUGCCCAGCUGGCCGAGCAGGCCGGCCCCACCGACGUGGAGAUGACCCCCGUGCAGAGGCGGAUCGAGCCCCGGUCGGCCGACGACUCGCUCUCGGGGGUGGUACGCUGCUUGUACUUCGCUGAUACCUUCCUCCGAGACGCCGCACACCACGGGCCCACCAUGUGGGCUGGGACCAACUCGGGCUCCGUGUUCGCCUACGCCCUGGAGGUCCCGUCCCAGGAGAAGUUCUCGGAGCGCUCGGUGGAAGCGGUGCUGGGCAAGGAGAUCCAGCUGAUGCACAGGGCGCCGGUGGUGUCGAUCGCGGUCCUGGACGGGCGGGGGAACCCUCUCCCGGAGCCCUACGAGGUGUCCCGGGACCUGGCCAAAGCCCCUGACAUGCAGGGCAGCCAUUCUGUGCUCAUCGCCUCGGAGGAGCAGUUCAAGGUGUUCACGCUGCCAAAAGUCAGCGCCAAGACCAAGUUCAAGCUGACGGCCCACGAGGGCUGCCGGGUGCGGAAGGUGGCGCUGGUGAGCUUCACCAGCCUGGCGUGCGAGGACUACACGGAGAACGGCUUGGCGUGCCUCACCAACCUGGGGGACAUCCACAUCUUCACGGUGCCCGGCCUGCGGCCGCAGGUGCACUACGACUGCAUCCGCAAGGAGGACAUCAGCGGCAUCGCCUCCUGUGUCUUCACCAAGCACGGGCAAGGCUUCUACCUGAUCUCGCCUUCCGAGUUCGAGCGAUUCUCCCUGAGCGCCCGGAACAUCACAGAGCCGCUCUGCUCGCUGGAGCUCGUCCGGCGCCACGGCACCACCUGUCUCAGCCCCAGUUUCACCGGGACACCGAAACUGUCGCAGGCCAACGGGACUCCCGUGCUGCAGGGCUCUGAGGCGAACGGCUCCCCCGGCGACGGCACCCGGACACCUGAGGAACCCCAGGCUGCCUUCUCCCCGGCGCCCACCGACUCGCCGAACAGCCCGGAGAGCCCCCUGGACACCACCGGGGACAUCACUGUGGAGGAAGUGAAAGAUUUCCUGGCGUAAGUUUGGGCUCUGGGAAGUCACUGGUGCCACGAGCCUGAGUGUUCUCGGCUGGAGGGCUCCGCUCUGGGGCCUGGCAGCAUCAGCUGUGCCGUUGUUGCUCCUUGGGCAUAGUCACCAUCUAGGCUGGAGAUGUUUUCAAGACAGAGGAGUUCCCGUCUCCCAGGCUCCAGUGGCUUUGUUCACCUUCCCUGCACGCAGCCCUGCCCGGCUGUGCCGAGGGAUCGAAGCGCGCACUUGAUUAUCGCAAGCUGCUUGCGAUAGGAAUCCGGUGAGAUGACGCCUGCGCUCCUCCGGGGGGCGCUGUGCAUGCACAGAGCUGCCCACCCUGAGGCCAGAGCUCUCUGCAGUGUUGGAUGGGAGAGGUGGUGAAACCACUAGCCAUACUGCACCUUGAGGGUGGCAGAGGAUUUUCACCCUGGUCUCUUCCCCAGGGCCCAUCCCCCCGGUCCCUAGCUAUAAGGGUCCCGCACCCUGGUCAAACCCGGGCUGUACGGACAAUGCAGCCUCUCUGCUGGGAGCCCCUUGGCCAGGCGCAUGGAGAGCCUGAGAUAAGGCCGGUCAAGGGGGUCCCAGCGCAUGUGUGCACAUCUCCCUCCCUCCCCCCCUUCCUCCCCCCAUGGGGCUGGGCUUGUGCAAUGCUGGACGGCCUCCUGCCUCAGACAGGGUCGCUCUGUGCAUAUCACAGCCUGGAAUCAGCCCUGGCCAACAACACGGCUGGCCUUGGACCCGCUCGUGAGCUAGUUAGCUGUCUGCACGCAGUGCUGCGGGAGCCUCGCUCCUUAAGAUGAGAGGCUUCAGUGUGCAGCCAAGACCUGGAGAGCUCAUCUCCGCGGGCAGCUCAGCGAUCCUGCCCAGUCGGCCUCUCCAGCGGGCGUCCACGGGAGCGAUUGGGGGCGGGGACCUUCCCAAGCAGCUGGACUCCGUCCCCAGACCCAGCUGUCUCUGUUCGCGGAGAAGCCGCUUGGUGCGUCCCACGUUUGGCCUCGGAUGCGGGCCUGCGUUGUCCUGCUCUGGUGCGGCACGUGCAGGUGGGUGAUUCGACCAGCAUCCCCUGCCAAGCGGGAGCAAUGGAUCGUCUUGGCUUGCCCUUAACGUUCGGGAGGCUGGGGGGUGUCCGGAGUCCAGGAGCUCUUCGCUCGGCCGUGCUGGCCCAGCGGCUGGGGGGCAUCUCUGGGCCAGCUCCCGGCCGUGCCUGGGACCGGAACGGUCUGUGUCAGCGUGUCUGUCUUCCAGCUCCUCGGAGGAAGUGGAGAGGAACCUGAGGAACGUGAGCGAGGAGGAGGCCCACUCUCCGGGGAUCCUGAUUAAAUGAGGGACCGUGCCGGCUCGUCUCCCGCGCCUGGAUUCCACGGACACAAGACUUGACUGAGCCAAGCUGUCGGCUCCACUUCUCCCCAGAGACCCUCCGCGUAACUUAGACUCGCCUCCUCUCUAACAUCCGGCCGGGAAGCUGGAGCGUGACGCCGCCCCCCACCGCUCCGCCCCGGUUCGAAGGUUCUCUCUCCGCCGAGCCGAGCCGCCUUCCGCCAGCGGGCCCAGCGCACUGCAACACUACAGCUCUUGCCCCCCACCCCCCCAAAGCAAAAACCGGACCUGGGGCUGCGGGGUGAGAUCGUUGCUUCCGCCUGGCCUAGACCGGGCGGGAAUGCAUCCAUCUCCAGGGACCCCAUUGCUGGAGCGCAGCCUCACACGGACGCCUGGGGGGAGAGGUGGACACAGUCUGGUUUGGGGUUGUUUUUUCCCCUUCUCCUCUGCUGAGCUCCCAGAAGGACUCUGAUCUGGGGUGGGGGGCGGGGGGAUAGGGACAUUGCUUGGCCUGGGGGAGCGUUUACAUGUUUACUCCUCUCUCGAGCAGCUCUUUCAAUACUUCGACUUUCCUCGGAACCGGCUGGCCUGCCGCAGACGGUAAGUCUGUGAGUGCUGGCUGGACUCGCCUUAACGCCCAUCUGCCACUAGGGGGCCCUCUUGCUCAAUACCGGAUUGAUAUUGAUUUCUCAGUGGUGUUGACGGCAUUUCUUCUCCCCCCCACCCCCCCCAAAUAAACUCCAGAGUGUCUCACUGGCACUGGAGGUGAAUCAGCCACGCUAGGGUCCAGCUCCCUUCCUAGCACCUUUCCCUCCUCCUGGGGGGCAGGAGAGCCAAGUUCCUGCUCUGGGUUAGCAGCCAUUAUUUUAGGGGCCUGGUUGCCUCUAGGGGCCUUCAUCUUCCAUCUUCACAGCUGGCUCCAGCUGGCUUCCCCCCCCGCCCCCCUUGGAACACCUUUAAAUGAAGGAGACCGGGGCAGAGCCAGUCAGCACCAGGCACGGCUCGCCCAAGAUGGGACCCUGCCAUGCUGAUCCAGGUGUGGGUGACCCAAGGCCAGUGCCUUCAAACAGGCCUGCCGAAGAGGCAGAUGCCAAAACAAGGGGCUGUAGACUCUUCCCGCCCCUUCGUUGCGGUGCUGAGCAGUUGUCUCUUGAGCUCACUGGUGGCUGCAAGUGCCCGGCACCUCUGGAAACCGGUCCCGGCGAUUACGCACUUUGGUUUCCGACGCCUCUGGACGAAAACGGCCCGAGACGUUUGCCGGCCUGCGCUAAGGCCAUUUCCGUGCAGUUGUGAAUUUAUGGGCUGCUCACCGCCUCAGCCUGGUGUGAGACAGGGCCUGAGUUCUGCUGGAGGAGUGGUCCCUGGUUUCAACCAGGCUUUGGAAUAAGACAGGGGUCCAGCCAACUCCUGCUGCUUCGGGGCAAAGCCUCCUCUGAAGUGACUUCCCACGCAGCCUGCUUUUAACAGGGGCCACCCGACAGCCCCUGGCCCAAGUUAUGCUUUUAACCCCAUGUGGCAUUUGAAACUUCCCCGUCCACUGGGCUGAAAGGUAGCUGCCGGUCAGGGACGUUCAUUCCCAGGCAGCGGAAGUAUAGGUGCCUGUCGAUCAAAAGGCUUGUUCCUGGCAGACCGGUCUGUUUCAGCGGGGAUAUUUUAAUCCAUUUCCUUAGGAUCCUGUUUUCCCUUCAGCGCCGCUGCACGGGUGGGACGAGGCUUUUGGAUGGGGCGGGGGGCAGCUCGGUGAAUGUUGAAGAUGGUUUGUUUUGACUUGGUCAAACCUAAAAUUGAGGGACGGGGGGAGGCCCAGAGACAGCACUGAAGAGCUCACCCUGAGCAGCUGUUGAGGGGUCGUCCCGUUUCCAGCAGUAUUAGUUUCCUUAGUUGCUCUGAGCUGGGGUGUAGAGCAAAGCACGGUGGCCGCUGGGGAUUCCUGUCUCUAAACUGGAUUGGAAGGUGACUUCUGGGACCUUAGGGGCCAGCUGGCUUGGGCUCUCCUGGGGCUGAACGCUCCAGCCUUCGGAGCGUUAUGGCAAAGCCUCUCCCCGCGGGGCUGGGAAGGAGGAAGCGGAACUGAACAAGCCGGGCCCAGGGCUAAAAUCUGGGUUGGCUGCCAUCUCUCUGCUUUGAGCUCUCCAUUCGUGGCUGGGGAAUAUCCCCUGCUGCGCUCUGUUCUUCCCACUGGGAGGGGGGAAUCUUGCAGCCAGGUCAGCUGUUGGUGGAACCAAGCUUUAGCCCCCGAGCUCUCUCUUGUGUCCAGGGUGCGCACUUGCUCCCAGUGUCACUGGUAGGCAUUGGUUCCCCCCGCCCCCCCCAUUGCAAGGGCUGGAGGCCUGGAGCUGGAGACCAAGGCAGGCCCGGGAUAGAGCGAAUGCCGUACCCCGUCAGUGCCUGAUCCAGGCUGCUUUCCUCUUUCCAAAGUGCCAAAGGGCCUGUUGGGCCCUGACUCCCGGAGGCCUGAAAGCCCUGGUACCUGAGCUGUUGUAGGAGUUACAAGGGCUGGGAUGGGGGCAUCCCACUGCAGCCCCCUCACCAUGCCUGUAUGGGUCGUCAGCCCCACCUCUUACCAGUGCGAGCAAAUGCCCAUCUCCCCUCGGCCGGCCUGGGAAUGGCCCCUGGUGCCAAACCAGUUCUGGGCCCACCCCGGUUCUCUCUGCGGCGCUUUGGGAGGUGCAUGUCCCUGAAUCUGAGCCUGGUACCAAGAGAGCGAACACUGUUACUCGGCAGCGUGUCGGGGGUGGGAUGGGGGCUCGGUUGGUCAGCGGCUGAUACUUCGAGUCUUUGAAGGAACUGGCUGGGCUGGGGGCAGAGGAAGAAUCUGAACGGCACAAACUCUCUGGACCCCACCCGGCUCUGUGUGCGAAUAGUAUUUUUCUACACUCGACCUUUGCCACCGGAACCGAUACUUUGUAUGGCUGUUUUGGUACUAGAUCCGGGGGGGGGGGAGUUGGGGGCAGGAGGGGGGGAGAAAUGUAGUCGCCAUGUGCCAUGGGGUCCCCUGCAGUCUAACCCAGUCCUGUGGGGUUCUAGUGGCCCCAGUAGAACGUCCCCCCUGUGUCUUUUUGGUAAGAUGAAUUUAGCAUUGUCUAGUUACGAAAUACUGGUUUUUAAUAUUGAAAAUAAAGCAUUUAAUAUCUCUUA